GAUGAACGCUGGCGGCGUGCCUAACACAUGCAAGUCGAGCGGAUUCUUAUAAAACUUCGGUUUUAUUUGGAUUAGCGGCGGACGGGUGAGUAACGCGUGGGUAAUCUGCCCUAUACCGGGGAAUAACAGAGAGAAAUCUCGGCUACAACCGCAUAAUAUCUAUAAGCCGCAUGGCUUGCACAGGAAAUGGUUACAGGUAAAGGAAGAGCACGCGUCUGAUUAGCUAGUUGGUGGGGUAAAGGCCUACCAAGGCGACGAUCAGUAGCCGACCUGAGAGGGUGAUCGGCCACAUUGGGACUGAGACACGGCCCAAACUCCUACGGGAGGCAGCAGUGGGGAAUAUUGCACAAUGGGGGAAACCCUGAUGCAGCAACGCCGCGUGAAGGAAGAAGGCUCUCGGGUCGUAAACUUCUAUCAAUAGGGAAGAAUAAUGACAGUACCUAAAUAAGAAGCACCGGCUAACUACGUGCCAGCCGCCGCGGUAAGAC
rnacentral:rRNA from 1 species